rnacentral:rRNA from 1 species
AGUGAACGCUGGCGGUAGGCCUAACACAUGCAAGUCGAACGGCAGCACAGUAAGAGCUUGCUCUUACGGGUGGCGAGUGGCGGACGGGUUAGGAAUACAUCGGAAUCUACCUUUUCGUGGGGGAUAACGUAGGGAAACUUACGCUAAUACCGCAUACGACCUACGGGUGAAAGCAGGGGAUCUUCGGACCUUGCGCGAUUGAAUGAGCCGAUGUCGGAUUAGCUAGUUGGCGGGGUAAAGGCCCACCAAGGCGACGAUCCGUAGCUGGUCUGAGAGGAUGAUCAGCCACACUGGAACUGAGACACGGUCCAGACUCCUACGGGAGGCAGCAGUGGGGAAUAUUGGACAAUGGGCGCAAGCCUGAUCCAGCCAUACCGCGUGGGUGAAGAAGGCCUUCGGGUUGUAAAGCCCUUUUGUUGGGAAAGAAAAGCAGCAGGUUAAUACCCCGCUGUUCUGACGGUACCCAAAGAAUAAGCACCGGCUAACUUCGUG